AAGCUAAUUUUGUAUGUUUUGAUGCUUUUCUACAGAUAUUACAUUACGUCAUCUACGUACAUAGUAACCAAAGAUCAUCUGCCUUGAAUUGCAACUGCUCCAAGAUCUUCCUUGCAAGUUUUGGUCUUUCAAUUUCCUUGUCGUGCCUCAUCUCUAUUCGCUCUUCUCGUUUGUGACUGCUUAACUAAAGUCAGCUUUCUGUAUCAGGAAACGAUUUCCAGAACCAACAAAGGGAAGAAGAAGAAGGAGCAUCCA